UCUCAUGAACAUGUCCGCAGAGUGCGCAUUUUGCCUUUUAAUUAAAAAGCAAAAUGCACACUCUGUGGACAUGUUCAUAAGA
rnacentral:miRNA from 1 species